rnacentral:rRNA from 1 species
UACCUUACGUUUCCUCGGCGGGUCCGCCCGCCGACUGGACAAUUUAAACCACUUGCAGUUGCAAUCAGCGUCUGAAAAAACUUAAUAGUUACAACUUUCAACAACGGAUCUCUUGGUUCUGGCAUCGAUGAAGAACGCAGCGAAAUGCGAUAAGUAGUGUGAAUUGCAGAAUUCAGUGAAUCAUCGAAUCUUUGAACGCACAUUGCGCCCCUUGGUAUUCCAUGGGGCAUGCCUGUUCGAGCGUCAUUUGUACCUUCAAGCCUUGCUUGGUGUUGGGUGUUUGUCUCGCCUCUGCGCGUAGACUCGCCUCAAAACAAUUGGCAGCCGGCGUAUUGAUUUCGGAGCGCAGUACAUCUCGCGCUUUGCACUCAGAACGACGACGUCCAAAAGUACAUUUUUACACUCUUGACCUCGGAUCAGGUAGGGAUACCCGCUGAACUUAAGCAUAUCA